rnacentral:rRNA from 1 species
GAUGAACGCUGGCGGCGUGCCUAAUACAUGCAAGUCGAGCGAACAGACGAGGAGCUUGCUCCUCUGACGUUAGCGGCGGACGGGUGAGUAACACGUGGAUAACCUACCUAUAAGACUGGGAUAACUUCGGGAAACCGGAGCUAAUACCGGAUAAUAUAUUGAACCGCAUGGUUCAAUAGUGAAAGACGGUUUUGCUUUCACUUAUAGAUGGAUCCGCGCCGCAUUAGCUAGUUGGUAAGGUAACGGCUUACCAAAGCAACGAUGCGUAGCCGACCUGAGAGGGUGAUCGGCCACGCUGGAACUGAGACGCGGUCCAGACUCCUAGGGGAGGCAGCAGUAGGGAAUCUUCCGCAAUGGGCGAAUGCCGGACGGAGCAAAGCCGCGUGAGUGAUGAAGGUCUUCGGAUCGUAAAGCUCUGUUAUUAGGGGAGAACGAAUGUGUAAGUAACUAGGCACGUCUUGACGGUACCUGAUCAGAAAGCCACGGCUAACUACGUG